rnacentral:rRNA from 1 species
GACGAACGCUGGCGGCGUGCCUAAUACAUGCAAGUAGGGCGCAGUUGCGAACGGGUGAGUAACGCCUAGGUAACUGCCUAUUAGAGGGGGGUAACUCUUUGGCACGAUAGCUAAUACCGUAUACUGGUAGAUGGACCUGCGUUGUACUAGCUAGUAGGUCGGGUAAUGGGCUACCUAGGCGACGGUACAUAGCCGACCUGGGAGGGGGAUUGGCCAAACCGGGACUGAGGCACGGGCCAGAAUUCCACCGGAGGCAGGAGUAAGGAAACCUUCGGAAUGGGGCGAAACCUGGACGAGCAACGCCGGGGGAGGGGAGGAAGUUUUCGGAUCGUAAAGCUUUGGUGUUAAGGGAGCGGUACUUAACCAGAAAGGGACGGCUAACUACGUGCCAGCAGCCGCGGUAAUAC